CCUACGGGCGGCAGCAGUCGAGAAUCAUUCACAAUGGGGGAAACCCUGAUGGUGCGACGCCGCGUGGGGGAAUGAAGGUCUUCGGAUUGUAAACCCCUGUCAUGUGGGAGCAAAUGAAAAAGAUAGUACCACAAGAGGAAGCGACGGCUAACGCUGUGCCAGCGGCCGCGGUAAUACAGAGGUCUCAAGCGUUGGUCGAAAUCACUUGGCGUAAAGAGUGCGUAGGCUGUUUCGUAGGUCGUGUGUGAAAGGCGCGGGCUCAACCCGCGGCCGGCACAUGAUACUGCGAGACUAGAGUAAUGGAGGGGUAACCGGAAUUCUCGGUGUAGCAGUGAAAUGCGUAGAUAUCGAGAGGAACACUCGUGGCGAAGGCGAGUUCCUGGACAUUAACUGACGCUGAGGCACGAAGGCCAGGGGAGCGAAAGGGAUUAGAUACCCCUGUAGUC
rnacentral:rRNA from 1 species